rnacentral:tRNA from 1 species
GCCCCCAUCGUCUAGGGGCUAGGACGGUUGGUUCUCAGCCAAUAAACUGGGGUUCGAUUCCCCAUGGGGGCA